rnacentral:rRNA from 1 species
GAUGAACGCUGGCGGCGUGCUUAACACAUGCAAGUCGAGCGGAAGGACGAGAAGCUUGCUGGUGGCAUGUUAGCGGCGGGCGGGUGAGACACACGAGGAUACCCUACCUAUAAGGCUGAGAUAACUACGGGAAAGCGGAUCUAACACCGGAUAAGAUUUUGAACCGCGUGGAUCAUAAGUGAAAGACGGCUUUGCGGUCACGUAUAGAGGGUUCGUGGCUGCUUUAGCUAGUUGGUAGGGUAACGGCUUACCAAGGCGAGGAUGCAUGGCCGACCUGAGAGGGUGAUCGGCCACACUGGAACUGAGACACGGUCCAGACUCCUACGGGAGGCAGCAGUAGGGAAUGUUGGGCAAUGGGCGGAAGCCUGACGGAGCAACGCCGCGUGAGUGAUGAAGGUCUUCGGGUCGUAAAACGCUGUUGUUGGGGAAGAACAGAUGUGGACGAAGACGUGGAGAUCUUGACGGUACCGUAUCAAAAAGCAACGGCUAACUACGUG